CCUACGGGAGGCAGCAGUAGGGAAUCUUCCACAAUGGACGAAAGCCUGAUGGAGCAACGCCGCGUGAGUGAAGAAGGGCUUCGGCUCGUAAAGCUCUGUUGGUAGUGAAGAAAGAGCGAGUGAGUAACUGGCCUUUAUUUGACGGUAAUUACUUAGAAAGUCACGGCUAACUACGUGCCAGCAGCCGCGGUAAUACGUAGGUGGCAAGCGUUGUCCGGAUUUAUUGGGCGUAAAGGGAGUGCAGGCGGUUUAAUAAGUCUGAUGUGAAAGCCUUCGGCUCAACCGGAGAAUUGCAUCAGAAACUGUGGGACUUGAGUGCAGAAGAGGAGAGUGGAACUCCAUGUGUAGCGGUGGAAUGCGUAGAUAUAUGGAAGAACACCAGUGGCGAAGGCGGCUCUCUGGUCUGUAACUGACGCUGAGGUUCGAAAGCAUGGGUAGCGAACAGGAUUAGAUACCCGGGUAGUC
rnacentral:rRNA from 1 species